rnacentral:rRNA from 1 species
UACGAAGGGGGCUAGCGUUGUUCGGAAUCACUGGGCGUAAAGCGCACGUAGGCGGAUCUUUAAGUCAGGGGUGAAAUCCCGAGGCUCAACCUCGGAACUGCCUUUGAUACUGGGGAUCUCGAGUCCGGGAGAGGUGAGUGGAACUGCGAGUGUAGAGGUGAAAUUCGUAGAUAUUCGCAAGAACACCAGUGGCGAAGGCGGCUCACUGGCCCGGAACUGACGCUGAGGCACGAAAGCGUGGGGAGCCAAAGCAGG